GGCCGCCUGGCGAAAUGGCAUCGCGUCUGACUACGACUUGUCGCGAUCAGGAGAUUGCAGGUUCGACCCCUGCGGUGGUCA